UGGGGAAUUUUGGACAAUGGGGGCAACCCUGAUCCAGCCAUGCCGCGUGAGUGAAGAAGGCCUUCGGGUUGUAAAGCUCUUUCGGACAGAAAGAAAUCGAGUGGGUAAAUAAUCCACUUGGAUGACGGUACUGUAAGAAGAAGCACCGGCUAACUACGUGCCAGCAGCCGCGGUAAUACGUAGGGUGCGAGCGUUAAUCGGAAUUACUGGGCGUAAAGCGUGCGCAGGCGGUUUUGUAAGACAGCUGUGAAAUCCCCGGGCUCAACCUGGGAACUGCGGUUGUGACUGCAAGACUGGAGUACGGCAGAGGGGGGUAGAAUUCCUGGUGUAGCAGUGAAAUGCGUAGAGAUCAGGAGGAAUACCGAUGGCGAAGGCAGCCCCCUGGGCCAGUACUGACGCU
rnacentral:rRNA from 1 species